rnacentral:rRNA from 1 species
GAUGAACGCUGGCGGUAUGCUUAACACAUGCAAGUCGAACGGUCUCUUCGGAGAUAGUGGCGGACGGGUGAGUAACGCGUGAGAACAUGCCUUUAGAUUGGGGACAACAGUUGGAAACGACUGCUAAUACCGAAUGUGCCUUAGGGUGAAAGAUUUAUUGUCUAGAGAUUGGCUCGCGUCAGAUUAGCUAGUUGGAGUGGUAACGGCACACCAAGGCGACGAUCUGUACUUGGUCUGAGAGGAUGACCAGGCACACUGGAACUGAGACACGGUCCAGACUCCUACGGGAGGCAGCAGUGGGGAAUUUUCCGCAAUGGGCGAAAGCCUGACGGAGCAAUACCGCGUGAGGGAGGACGGCUUUUGGGUUGUAAACCUCUUUUAUCAGGGAAGAAUCGAUGACGGUACCUGAUGAAUCAGCAUCGGCUAACUCCGUGCCAGCAGCCGCGGUAAUACGGAGGAUGCAAGCGUUAUCCGGAAUUAUUGGGCGUAAAGCGUCCGUAGGAGGUUUAUCAAGUCUGCUGUCAAAGCGUGCGGCUUAACCGCAUAAGGGCAGUGGAAACUGAUGAACUAGAGUGCGAUAGGGGUAACAGGAAUUCCCAGUGUAGCGGUGAAAUGCGUAGAUAUUGGGAAGAACACCAGCGGCGAAAGCGUGUUACUGGGUCUGCACUGACACUGAGGGACGAAAGCUAGGGGAGCGAAAGGGAUUAGAUACCCCUGUAGUCCUAGCCGUAAACGAUGACAACUAGGCGUGGUUCGUAUCGACCCGAGCCGUGCCGUAGCCAACGCGUUAAGUUGUCCGCCUGGGGAGUACGCACGCAAGUGUGAAACUCAAAGGAAUUGACGGGGGCCCGCACAAGCGGUGGAGUAUGUGGUUUAAUUCGAUGCAACGCGAAGAACCUUACCAAGGCUUGACAUCCUCGGAACCCUGAUGAAAGUUAGGGGUGCCUUCGGGAGCCGAGAGACAGGUGGUGCAUGGCUGUCGUCAGCUCGUGUCGUGAGAUGUUGGGUUAAGUCCCGCAACGAGCGCAACCCACGUUUUUAGUUGCCAGCAUUCAGUUGGGCACUCUAGAGAGACUGCCGGUGACAAACCGGAGGAAGGUGUGGAUGACGUCAAGUCAGCAUGCCCCAUACGCCUUGGGCUACACACGUACUACAAUGCGUCGGACAAAGAGCAGCCAGCCAGCGAUGGUGAGCCAAUCUCAUAAACCGACGCUCAGUUCAGAUUGCAGGCUGCAACUCGCCUGCAUGAAGGCGGAAUCGCUAGUAAUCGCAGGUCAGCAUACUGCGGUGAAUACGUUCCCGGGCCUUGUACACACCGCCCGUCACACCAUGGGAGUUGGUCACGCCCGAAGUCGUUACUCUAACUGCUUGCAGAGGAGGACGCCGAAGGUGGGGCUGAUGACUGGGGUG